UUAAUUAAUAAAUAUUAAAAUUAAUUUUUUUUUUGCUUGCGUACCUCAAUUUAUAGUGAUCUUGUUCCCAAUUUACUACUUCCAUUGGUGAUGACUUCUACGGCUUAUCCUAUUUAUUAACUUGGCUCUGCAAAAAACCAAAUUUACGGAAAUUAAAGCGUUUCGUCAUCUUCCUGAUUUGCGAGAUCUACAUUUAGCCGAAAAUAAUAUAAAAGGGCUUCACGGUUACAUGUUUAAAUCUCUCAGUCAGUUGACAAAUUUGAAUCUUUUUAGCAUUGGCAUAACUUUAAUAUAUAGAGAAAGUUUUUCAAGGCUUGGAAUUUACUAAAAAAAAA